AAAAGCCAGGGGGAGCCAGCAUACUACCCAACAAUCCAUCACCCCAUUCAUUGGUCUCCAGGGUUGAGAUGGAUCUGGCUGGCAAAGUGGGUGUCCCCUUCCUCCCUCACCGCUCCAUGUGUGUCUCUCCCAAAGCUGCUCUGCACUCUGUGGAAGAGGACGGCCUUCCCAGACUUCCCAGAGAUGGACUGACCUUCAGUCAAGGGUUUAAGAGUAGCUGCUCUCCCCUUGCUAGAAGCUCCAAAAAGCUCUCAAGAACUGCCGUCCUCCCACAUUGCCAAGUCAUGCUUUGACCUUCACGGCUUCACUCUACUUUUCAAAUGUCUUCAUCAAGAAGGUGAUGGAGACGGUGCAAGCGGUCCAGCAAGCGCUUGGCUGUCUGCUU
rnacentral:snRNA from 1 species